AGUAUAAUGGUGUAGGCAGCAUUUAAGUUUUUGAUUCUUAAGGAAGAUAGGUUGACUAUCUUUAUACUA
rnacentral:tRNA from 1 species